rnacentral:rRNA from 1 species
UACGUAGGCAGCAAACGUUGUUCGGAAUUACUGGGCGUAAAGAGUGUGUAGGCGGUCCUGUAAGUCUGAUGUGAAAGCCCCCGGCUCAACCGGGGAGGGUCAUUGGAAACUGGGAGACUUGAGUACAGAAGAGAAGAGCGGAAUUCCACGUGUAGCGGUGAAAUGCGUAGAGAUGUGGAGGAACACCAGUGGCGAAGGCGGCUCUUUGGUCUGUAACUGACGCUGAGGCGCGAAAGCGUGGGGAGCAAACAGG